rnacentral:rRNA from 1 species
CCUACGGGGGGCUGCAGUGAGGAAUAUUGGUCAAUGGACGAGAGUCUGAACCAGCCAAGUCGCGUGAAGGAUGAAUGCCCUAUGGGUUGUAAACUUCUUUUAUAAAGGAAUAAAACGAGGCACGUGUCCCUUUUUGUAUGUACUUUAUGAAUAAGGAUCGGCUAACUCCGUGCCAGCAGCCGCGGUAAUACGGAGGAUCCGAGCGUUAUCCGGAUUUAUUGGGUUUAAAGGGAGCGUAGAUGGGGUGUUAAGUCAGUUGUGAAAGUUUGCGGCUCAACCGUAAAAUUGCAAUUGAUACUGGCAGUCUUGAGUACAGUUGAGGUAAGCGGAAUUCGUGGUGUAGCGGUGAAAUGCUUAGAUAUCACGAAGAACCCCGAUUGCGAAGGCAGCUUACUAAACUGUGACUGACAUUGAUGCUCGAAAGUGUGGGUAUCAAACAGGAUUAGAUACCCGUGUAGUC